rnacentral:rRNA from 1 species
UAGUCCACGCCGUAAACGAUGUUCACUCGCUGUUGGCGAUAUACUGUCAGCGGCCAAGCGAAAGCAUUAAGUGAACCACCUGGGGAGUACGAUCGCAAGGUUGAAACUCAAAGGAAUUGACGGGGGCCCGCACAAGCGGUGGAGCAUGUGGAUUAAUUCGAUGAUACGCGAGGAACCUUACCAGGGCUUAAAUGCAGAACGACAGUUUGGGAAACCAUUCUUUCUUCGGACGGUCUGCAAGGUGCUGCAUGGUUGUCGUCAGCUCGUGCCGUGAGGUGUCGGGUUAAGUCCCAUAACGAGCGCAACCCCUAUUCUUAGUUGCCAGCGGAUAAUGCCGGGGACUCUAAGAAAACUGCCAGUGUAAACUGAGAGGAAGGUGGGGAUGACGUCAAAUCAUCACGGCCCUUACGUCCUGGGCUACACAUGUGCUACAAUGGUCUGUACAGAGAGUUGCUAACUGGUGACAGUGUGCUAAUCUCUAAAGCAGGCCUCAGUUCGGAUUGG